rnacentral:lncRNA from 1 species
CUAUUUUGUUGGCUAUAUAUGUAUACAUUUUCUGAGGUUUGAUCUGCUAUAAUUUGGUCAAAUUGGGUAUUAUUGAUUAGAUACUGUGUGUGCUUAUUAUGGAACUGAUAUUUGGUAGGCAUAGAGUCAAGCCUUAAAUAAAGAUCUAAGGAUCCUGCUCUCCUCCAAUAAUGACUCAGUGAUCAGAAGUUAGACUCAACCUGACCAUAUGCCUUAGAACAAUGAAGAUGAAUCUUUUAGAGACUGAGUGCCCAAACUGCAACCCUCAUACCACAGAAUAGAAUAGCCAAGUUUUGGAGCCAAGCCAACUGCUUCUUCUCCUGACAUGAAUUAGUAACCUUUGGAGAUGGGAUGAAUAAGAAGAGUCUCAAGAUGUCUAUUGUGUUACCCUUAACAUCAUACAAUGACAGACUUCGUGCUACACAUGAUGCUUCCUUGCCACAGUGGAUCAUGGCCAGAUAUGAAGAGGAAAUGGAUCUCAUUUUGAAACUGAACUGUUUGGAGAUGCCUCCAGACCACAAGCUACAUAAGAAGAUCAAGAAUAAACUUUGGGUGUGGUUGAUUGAACAUUUAUUUGUAUGUAUACUUUCAUGCCAAAGGGGACUUCCCCCUAAAUGGUUUUUUGUCAAUGCGUCUAGCAAUUAUUGGUUUUGUUCUUUUCCUCUUAUCCUCAAAUUAUUGUAAUCUUUAAGUUGAUUGUGUUUUCAUGAUCCUUUUGGGGAAAUUUUUCCCAAUAAGAUCAAACAAGGGGAUGUAAAAUGGAGAUUUGAAGCCCAGACUUGAAUUCCCAGAAGUCCUUGGUAGUUCCCAGAAUUCCCUAAAAUCUCACCUGAGGUCCUCACCUGGGCUGAGAAAAAAAGAGGUAUUUAAACUGACUGUACCACAUAUUUCCGCUCUCUCUCAGCUUCCACUUCUAGGCUGACGCGGCUCUCUACCAGACAGGCAAGAUAUAGGUUGCACGUGCUUUUCUUAUUUUGUAUUUUCU